AGUCCUAUAGUUUCAGCGGUAAAAAUACUCCCCUGUCACGGGAGAGUCACGGGUUCGAAUCCCGUUAGGACUGCCA
rnacentral:tRNA from 5 species